AUGGUGGCUGCCUGGCCCCGGGAGCUCUGGAACAAUUGGUCCAUCCAGAUCCUGGUGCUCCUCAGCCUCGGGCUCCAGGUCGCCCUCUUCCUCUUUGCCGGGAUCCGCCGGCGUGGAGCCCACUCCGUGCUGCGGUUCUUCCUCUGGCUGGCCUAUCAGCUGGCCGACUACACGGCGACGUACGCCCUCGGCCACCUCUCCCUCAAGGGCGCGCCGCGCGACCAGCCGAUCGUGGCGUUCUGGGCGCCAUUCCUCCUGCUGCACCUCGGCGGCCCCGACAACAUCACCGCCUACUCUCUGGAGGACAACAAGCUGUGGAAGCGCCACCUGCUGAGUGCCAUCCUCCAAAUGUCCGGAGCCGUGUAUGUCCUCUACGAGCAUGUCGUGGACAGAGGGGCGUUGCUCCGGCUUGCCUCCGCCUUGAUGUUCGCCAUCGGCGCCGUCAAGUACUGGGAGAGGACGUGGGCGCUCAUGGGCGGCAACCUCGACGACAUCCGAGGCUCCAUCAAGAAGCAACCAGCUGCCAUGCAUGGACAUUUCCACCCUCACGAUAAAGUGUUCAAGGAUGGAGACUUCGAUGAGGAGUCCCUUGUGCGACGAGCUCACUCGCUGUUCCACAUUUGCAAGCGCGCCAUGGUCGACUAUCCAGUGAUGGAAGAUGAUUCACACGGCCAAGACACCACCAAAUUGAUAGGCGAGGUCAGGCUAUGGCGGUUGAUGGAAACCGAGCUCUCCCUCAUGUAUGACAUGUUGUACACCAAGGCACCGGUCAUCUCCACCUGCUUCGGCUACUUGGUACGUCUCAUCUCGCCGAUCGCCAUUGUCGCGUCACUGCUGCUUUUCAAGUUCAUUGACAAGAACGCCCACCGCAGAGUUGACGUCAAUAUCACCUACGUAUUGUAUGGUGGUGCCUUGUUCAUGGAGAUGACAUCGCUGCUGAACGCCCUAGGCUCCUCUUGGGCAUUUGCCUUCCUGAGUACCACGAGCUGGCACUGGCUUCGAUACGCAGCUCUGUGCAAUGAAAGAUGGGACCGCCUCAGGCGUGUGGUUGCAUGUCUUCACCAUCUUGUCAGGGUAGGAGGAGGCAGCCGGUACAGAUCAAGGAGGUGGUCAUAUACCAUGGGACAGUACAACAUGCUGCACUAUUGCACUCGCUCUAACAGUGCGCUCACCAGGCCUCUGCUUGGCAGUUUGGCCAAGAAGGUGGGACUGGGACUAAAUGAGCUUUGGAACAGGAAGCAUUUCUCAUGGGUUAUUGACAUGCCUGACCAUGUCAAGGAUAGUAUCUCUGAACAUAUGAAGAAGAUGUACAAUGCUGGAGGUGUGAACUCACUGGGCAUGCUCAAGAACAGGUGGGGCGAGGAACCACUGGCUCGUGAGGAGUUACUAGAAGAAGGCAGCAUAUUCAAAGAUUCCCUCGGUGUCGAGUUCCAGGAGUGCAUCAUCAUCUGGCACAUCGGCACCGAUGUUUUCCUCGCCAAGAGCGAGCAAGCCAAAGAAGACGAUGUGAAGGCGAUCAAGAUAAUAUCCAACUACAUGAUGUACCUUCUCGUGGACCAACCAGACAUGCUACCAGGCCUCUCCCAAAACAGGUUGUACCAACUAACUUGUGAAAGUUUAGUCAAGACUUGGCGAUCGACCCAUAGGCGUCGGAACAUGAACUCGGGUGCCACGCUCAAGAAUCUGUUCCGCCUGCACGAUGACGCCGAUUCUAAUUCCAGGGCCACCGACAGAGAUGAGCUUGCUGAGAAACUGUAUGAUGAGUAUGAGAGCAAAAGCUUCAUGUACGAUUCUCCUCGUCUCUCCUACGUAGCUCAACUUGCUAAGGAGCUGUUGGCAAUGGAGAAAGGUGGCACGGUUGACCCGGUGAAACUCGUCCGUGAGGUGUGGACGGAUAUUCUUGUCUACGCAGGCAACAAAUGCAGCCGGAAGUUCCACGCCGAGAAGCUCAACAGUGGCGGUGAGUUGACAACAAUCCUGUGGCUUAUGGCAGAACACUUCUACCAAAUUUAUCUGGGGAGCCUGGUCAAAAGAAAGAAAAAGGGAAAUGAUUUAGCAGGAGAAGGCAUCAGCCACCCGGGGAGAUGA
rnacentral:rRNA from 1 species